UGAGAAUGGGUGCCAUUUUUUUAGUAAGACGGUGGUGUCGCUUGAAAUUCAGAAGUUCAGUUCAUGCGUCAGACUAAUACUAUUGUUCUUGCGUUCACAGCCCUUAAGAGUUUAGUGACAUCGAUAGAGUGGUAGUUGGUAGAACGAUUCUAGGAACAUGGUAAUGUAAGAAGAAUUAGCCUUACUUGACCAUGCUUCGAAGUAAUCAGAAGUAAUGAACCAUGUUAAGAGCAUGCAAGAAAUAGGCGGGUGUUGCCAAGCUUAGGUUUACGGAAGGGAACUGGGGAAUGAGCCGGCGUUAUCCUGCUGUGGAAUUGUACAUGAAUUCUGAUUUCUGAGAAAAAGUGCAAUAUCCUGGCGUAACUGGCACAGCGCUUUUAUAAUUUCAGCAAUUACACAGACAUGGUGGUAGAGAUUUACAUAAAGUAAGCAGAACGAUAGGCAGCUGUGACCCGCAUAAUAAUGGCAAUGAAAAUACCAGAGAAGAUCAGUCCUCUGAAAGUCAGAAAAGUAACAGUCGUAACAACGAGAUCAACCCUUUCUUCUCUGACCUCUGGAUAGAGCAGGCUGGCCUAUCCAAUUUUAGAAAAUGCUAGGUAGAUUGUUCGUUGUUAUAGCGAUUUUCACCUUUGCACAUCUUUCUGCGUUAUUUGCCAAUGAAUACGAAUUGUUUCAGGUAAUAGAGGUUGCUGCAUGUUUAUGAGUUACUUUGAUUUGGGCUGUGCAUGGAAAACUCUGAUCAGGAUUAUGAAAAUUCGAACGUUAUUGCCAGCCGAGAAGAUUUCUCGCCAUCAGAUGUUAACGGCAAAAGGCUCCAGUAUUUCCUGUGGAUGAAGCGAGCAGCCGAUGGGGCCAGAAGCGGAGGGAUGGGACGCUCGAAACAAUUACGUUAUCAUCACUGCUAUUUUAACCCUAUCAGCUGUUUCAAAAAAAGGGCUAUAGAGUCUUCGCAAUUGCCAGAAUCGUAUACUGGAAAUUUAUAACACAAUCAUACACGCAAUUUAAAAAAAUUGGUUCCUUGUAACUUUCCAUUAUUAUGCCUUACUGUAUCCCGAUAUGUUGACUUCGAAAAUAUACAGUCAUGGCAGAUGA
rnacentral:lncRNA from 1 species